CCUACGGGCGGCAGCAGUGGGGAAUAUUUCACAAUGGGGGAAACCCUGAUGCAGCGACGCCGCGUGAGGGAAGAAGUAAUUCGUUACGUAAAGCUCUAUCAGCCGGGAAGAAAAUGACGGUACCUGAGUAAGACGCCCCGGCUAACUACGUGCCAGCAGCCGCGGUAAUACGUAGGGGGCAAGCGUUAUCCGGAUUUACUGGGUGUAAAGGGAGCGUAGACGGUUCGCCAAGUCUGGAGGGAAAUGCCUCAGCUUAACUGCGGAACUGCCUUGGAAACUGGCGAACUAGAGUGCGCGAGGGGUAAGCGGAAUGCGUAGUGUAGCGGUGAAAUGCGUAGAUAUCAGGAGGAACACCGGUGGCGAAGGCGGCUUACUGGACCGUAACUGACGUUGAGGCUCGAAAGCGUGGGGAGCAAACAGGAUUAGAUACCCCUGUAGUC
rnacentral:rRNA from 1 species